UUGAUGUAGACGAAAAAAAAUAACACGAGAAUUUUACUUUAUAACCAUCCAAUAACCCUCAAGUAAAGACUUUGAUAUCGUUUGACCAAUGUCAUUAUGACGGCACCUAACGAACAUAGAUUCCGAAAAAUCUCACUGCGCCUGGCACAAGAUUGAAGGUCCAUGAUCCACAUUGCAUUACAUGCUAGAUUCUCUGUCUUGGACACCAGGCCAGGUACAGUAAUUACUGCUAUGUGUUAUUUCAGUCCCCAAAAAGCUAGUACAUGCACAGCAUCACAGUGUUGCUCCCUAAUCAUCAUGCAGUGCCUCAAAUACGUUACAUGAACUGGGAAAUCCUAAUUCUUACAGCAAGAGGAGUACUACUUAACGAAGAUA